UACGGAGGGUGCGAGCGUUGUCCGGAAUCAUUGGGCGUAAAGGGCGCGUAGGUGGCCCGGUCAGUCUUUGGUGAAAGCGCGGGGCUCAACCCUGCGUCGGCCAGGGAUACUGCCGCGGCUCGAGCACUGUAGAGGCAGGCGGAAUUCCGGGUGUAGCGGUGGAAUGCGUAGAGAUCCGGAGGAACACCGGUGGCGAAGGCGGCAUCCUGGACCAACACUGACGCUGAGGAGCGAAAGCCAGGGGAGCAAACGGG
rnacentral:rRNA from 1 species